GUUGUCCUAAUGACAGUGGCUUGAUUUUAUUAUUGAGCCUGGCCUCGCCUGUCUUACAUUCUUUACUAUUUAUGCAGGAGACGAGAUCCAGAGUUUUAGGUGUUGGGGUUUGAUGAUUUGGAAGAUAGGUUGUUCAGGGUGGAGAAGCAGGGUACGUGCAUUCCUAGUUAUAUCCUGUCGGUCGAAAAAUCGAUCAAAAUAUGAGAUAGAUGGAAAGGGUUGUUGGUUUUUCAUGUGCUCCAGCUUCUCCACCAUGCACAACCAAUCUGUAUAUUUUGAGUCACAGUAGCAGGUUGGCUUGAAGUUGCAGUGUGGAUUUAUCCUUCACCACGAGCUGCCGGUUCAAACCCUUGCUACACCGAGCCACCAUUUACAGGCCAUUGAAACUGAUAAUGCUGAUCCUAUAUAAGGACUCAAAAUUAAAGAUUACUUUUGUGAGUUGCAGUGGACCAACAUGAAAAGAAAAGAUGGAAUAGUAGCUUCCCUACAGGCAUUAUUUAAAUUCUAUAAUUGGAAGCGGAUAUACGAGGAGGAGAAGGAAGGGUUACCGAGGGGAAUGAUGUCGUCGACGGUGGCGGCGGCAGCGAUCGGACGCUGGAGAUCGACAAUUCGACAUCUACGACUCCAUCAAUUCCAAUCACUGGAUCGCCACGAGAAGGAAGGGUUCCGCAGGGAGAGAUGUCGUCGUCAACUCGUCAUCGUCGACGGUGGCGGCGGUAGCGGUUUCGCGUGGAUAAGGCGACGAGCGACCUCCUGAUGGGCCGCGUUCUGACGUAUUGGACAUCGACAUCUGCGACUCCAUCAAUUCCAAUCACUGGUUAGUCAGUUCCUCAUCCUCCCUUCGAUCUCUUAAUCAAUCGGUGAUCGGUGAUCGUUUCGUUGGACUUUUAUUUCGAUGAAGCUCAAAGGAUCGCCACGCGUCCUUCGAUUUGAACGCUUAUCCUUUUGAGCUUUGGAUGUGAUACAGCUGCGAUUUUUAAGGUUUCCGAUGGGUUGUUUUCUUUGUUUUGGUUUUUCUUACAAGUUAAGAGACGUGAAGGAUUUGAUUGUCUGGCUCUCUCUACUUUUGGCAUGUUUUUCCCUUUGAUAACAUCAAUCAUCAAUCUGGACGUCAAUCAUCAAUCUGGACGUCAGCCGAAUGGACUUCCGCAUGAUAUGGAUAGAAUAAGUGAAGCUUGUAUGUCAACAGUGUUUGAUCUGAUGGAGAGAAUGAAGUAACAACCAUUAAAUUUGAUAACAUCAAUCUCCACGUCAGCCGAAUGGACUUCCGCAUGAAACAAUAAGUGAAGCUUGUAUGUCAACACUGUUUGAUCUGAUGGAUAGAAUAAAAUAACAACCAUUAAAUUAGACAUUGAACGAAAGCAUUUGGAGGGUCAGACUCGUCUCUUAUCCACAAUAGGGAUAUUCAAACAGUAUUUCUCUAAAUAUCCCUAAAUUCUAAAUCUUCAUCAAAAUCUUCACCCUUGAAAGGGAGUGGAGAUUGGAAUAUUAAAAAUUACCGGGCAAAAAGUCUUGCCUAGUGAUUUCUAUUAUUUUUGUUUUCUAAAAAAAAAAUUAAAAUGAGUUGGUGAGAUAUUUAAUUAUAUAAUUUAGGAUAGGUUGGAGUGAGAUAUUUGAUGGAUGAGACCCAUAAAUAUUUAGUUUGUAAAAUAUUUGAUUGUGAAAUUUAGGAUAUUUGAGAAGUGAAAUAUUUAAUUGAUGAUGUGGAUAUGAGGAUCAUAAAUAUUUGAGAGAAAUAUUUAUUUUUAUUGUGGAUGCUCUCCGAGAUCAUUCAAAUCUUUUAAUUUUUUUUUUUUUUGAACGUUGAAUACUGAAAGUGGAACUAAAAGAAUAAAAAAUGAACUUUUGUGGAUAGUAAAUGAGUAAACUUGUUUUAUCUCAUCGUUUUUGUCGAUAGUAAAUGAACGUUCAAGCUUGUUUGAUUGAUUGAAAAUUUGAUAAGAAUGUUUUGGAUGAAUAUGAUAUAUAAAUUUUGUUCAUGAAUAUUAUUCACGAACAAUUUGCAAUCCUUAUUAAUGAAUAUUAACAAGUUGAACAUAUAUGUGUUCAACCUUAUUCAUUUAAUUUAAUGAAUUGUAAUGCUGGUACAUUGAACAUAUAUGUGUAUUAAACGAACAUAAAUAAGCUCUUACCAAACUAAAUAUCAAGCUUGCUCAUGAAUGUUUGGUUCAUGUACAAUCCUAUCAAUCAAUGGGGAUACAACAGCCAAGUAAAAAUCUACAUAAGGUAAGAGGCAUCACAAAAGACUUGGCUAUUUCCUUGAGUAACACAACCAUUAUUGAAUCUUAGCACUCAAAUGAGGAGUUUAGCCUUGUGGGGCAAUAAUUUACUUGAGAAAAAUAGAUGAAGCUACAAGGUGAGGUAGCUCCUCAAAUUGACAGGGUAUAAAACCAUUUUCCACACUGGGUCUGGCACCUUCAUUUUGACAAGGUGAUUUUGUAGCAUGUAAUUUCAAUUAUUUUGAGUUGAACAAGAAUACUAAUUACAAAGUGGUAUUAGUACUUGAAGGCCCUUAUGCAGUUCAACAAGCAUUUGUAUUUGUUUGUAGACCAGUUCCUGAAUUACACUUUGAAGUUUUAAUUUAAAAAAUUUUUAGGAAGUUUUAAUUCAAGAUUGCUUGGAAGAUAUCCUUGUAUUCUAGUCAGUAUAAAAAAAUUUGAAGAGCAAUUCAGCAGAGGUUUAUAGUUUCGCAUAUUAUUGUGUCAAUUUUUUUCAACUCUUUAAUAUAGGAAUUUCUUGAAGAAUUUUUUUAGCUGAUGUUGUUGCUUGCAAGAGAUUAUAUACUGAUGAACAGCAAUGUUUAAAUAUAGUUAUUACUCUUAUUCAUGUCUGACUAAUUUAGAGUAUUUGCUAGUAAGUUCCUUUAUGGUUGUCAUUAUGAAAAGUGUGAUGAAUCCUUGGUUUUUGAUUCUUUUUCUUGUGGCACUCAUAAAUAUUAUUAAGUGAGUAAACAUUUUAAACUCACUUUAUAAUUGCAACCCACACAACAAAUUUAGAGGGAUCAGGUGUCAUAAUCCCGAAACACUCUCCUGAUGCUACUCUUACAUUGACACCUUAUGAAACUGCAACCCCUUAGACAUUCUCAGAAAGCGUAUGGGACGACAAACAGUUUGGAAACAAGAUUCAAAUGGUUACCUCGAGUUCAGCAGACCUAUCUAGCAUGAGGACUCUGACUUAUCUGUUAAAGGAGAUGCUGAAAGCUGUGGAUCUAAAUGAUUGUAAUGCAGUUGAAGAUGAAGUAAUCAAAGACAUUGUAGACCAGUGUCACGCAAACCAAAAAAAAAAAAAAGGAGUCGAUCAAUUUAAUCAGGUGCCCGAACAUAUUGGUUGGUGAGAACCACUGCACUGAAAGGUGACCCUUUACCUUUCAUCCUUCAUCAGACUAUUUUUAAUCACUGGUCCCUAACAUAAUAAUAAUGCACACCAGCCGUGACUACUUUCCAACUGUAAUCCAAUGUUUCUAGCAUUUUUAUACGUCACUGCUUAUGAAGUCGGUCUUUCUCAUUCCAACUACUGUAUAUUGGAGUUUAGUAUGAUUGUGAAAGAUACUAAUAA